AUUUGUAAUGCAUGAAGCGGUCUUCGAGGGUGGAGUCAUUACUGAAGAACUUUGAGAGUAAACUUUACGAGAUGAGUGAUGAGGAUUUCAAUAGCAAUGUAACAGCUCUAAUAGACAUGAAGCUUGAAAAAC